UAGUCCACGCUGUAAACGAUGGAUACUAGGUGUUGGCUUUUUGUCAGCGCCGCAGCUAACGCAUUAAGUAUCCCGCCUGGGGAGUACGGCCGCAAGGUUGAAACUCAAAGGAAUUGACGGGGCCCGCACAAGCGGUGGAGCAUGUGGUUUAAUUCGAUGCAACGCGAAAAACCUUACCUACCCUUGACAUCAUUGGAACUUGUUAGAGAUAACUUGGUGCCUUCGGGAGCCAAUAGACAGGUGCUGCAUGGCUGUCGUCAGCUCGCGUCGUGAGAUGUUGGGUUAAGUCCCGCAACGAGCGCAACCCUUGUCCUUAGUUGCCAGCGCGUAAUGGCGGGAACUCUAGGGAGACUGCCGGUGACAAACCGGAGGAAGGUGGGGAUGACGUCAAGUCAUCAUGGGCCCUUACGGGGUAGGGGCUACACACGUGCUACAAUGGGUCGGUACAGAGGGGUUGCGAAGCCGCGAGGU
rnacentral:rRNA from 1 species